AUACAAUUGGACUAACCCAAUAUUCUCAAUCCAUUUGUUUCAAUUACCAGAAGACCAUCAGACCACAAUUCAAUAACCCAACAAAUAUCCAAUACAAUCCAACCCCUUCUCCUUCUCCAACAAAACGACUUACAAGCAACGCGACAAAACCAAAAAAUCGUGCAACUCCAUUUCGCAUCAGACGUGAAAUCAGCAAACAUAGCGUGCUCUCCUUAUCCUCUCGUAGAGGCGUACUCGAACCGAGAAGGUGUCUCAAUACUAUCGCUCGCGCUUCUUUACUCAUAAUCGGAAGGCCUUGGUUCUGAAUCCAUUGAAAAUUCGUACGAAUUCCAGCACCCUCGACCUUAUCCAUUAAGAGUUCUGAAUUGUGAGGCAUUCCCCUAUCGUUUCCCCCCUCAAUUUUAACCCAGAAGUUGCCCUAUAUAAACCCUCUUCAUUCACUGUUUAGAAGAGGAUUUUCGUGGAGAAAAGAGUACCCAAAAGAUUUUGGGAACUCUUGGUUCCUUACUUUAAAAUCUUGUGUCUUUUGUCACUGUUCUAGUUUAGAGCGGUGGUGGAAUCGUCUCCUUAAACUCGUCAUCCGGUUCGCUGCCCAAAACCAGGAUGGAGUAUUCCAAUGUCGGGAAGUGUGAGACAAUUCCAUCAACAAGAUUACUGAAUGUAAAGAUCAAAGCACUACUUUGCUUUGAACAAGAAAGAAUGAUAUGGAUUUGUCACCUGCAACUACCCUUUCUUUUUUACAAUGACCUUUUGGAUUUCAAAAUCUUGCAGAGCUUGAUAAAGUUCUUGACUCCUGCAUCUGGUGUGCAAAAGAUAUUGGAUCUGUAUACAUAGAUAUGGUCCUUAGACCAACAUGCAUGGUUUAUCCACCAUUGGCAUCUCAAAGCCAGGCAAAUUGGAAAUUGGAGGGACAGAGCACCAAGCAAUGUUCAACUUCGUCAAAUGAAUGUUUGACUACCUUUAUUAUGACAGAAGACACGGUUAUUAUAUCGAAUGUCACUGGAUUUUUCUCCCCAGCUGAAACACAUCCCCUUGAUGCAAUAUGUUUCGAGGCAUUUGCUGAGCAGACAUAUGACUUGUGCUUGGCUAGAAGGAUCGCCUGCUCAACGCCACCAAUAUUUGGAACCUGUCAGUCUCUUACAAUAAGCUGUGUUUUGAGGCUGUAAAUAGUGGAGCAAAGGACCUACCAUUCAGCAGAUAAACAUAAUUACAUCAACCACCAAGCUUUACUUUUCAAGAUGACUUUGAUCUCUUUAUUAUCAGGUCGCGGUGAAAUUCAUCGGAAGGGAUCGAACUUCCUUAUAUCGUGCAGGCUCGAGACAAUGUCAUGCUACAAUAUCUAUGUGACAAGAUGCAGUGUUAUCGCCAGGAAAAAGAAGACGAGGAAUUGAAUAAACCUCUCUCAAGAUCAAACAUAAAAGAGAAUCAGUUGUGGGUUUUAGAGAAGCAUAGAGGAUUCCAGGAGUCGGGUCAUUUGCUUUUUGCAUUUUUUGGGUGCUUACACAUUUCUCUAUCAUGCCUCCGAAUUUUACAGGAGAUUCUUAAAAUGAUUAGAAAAUAUUUAUUGGACAUCAUAUUUGGCAAAUAUUUAUGGAACAUGAAGCGCGUGAUAUUGCUACUUAAGUUUUAAGGUAAGCAUAGAUUACCACUCUAACCUGUCUUUGCUAGUAGAUAGAUGUAAUGCGGUCGCAUUGAUUAUUUCACUGAAUAGUAACUAAUUUGGAGUCAGUAGUAAACUUUUAAAAGAUUCAUAACCUUUGGCAUAUCAGUUGGUAUCAUCUGUCGAGCAAAAUUUGUUCAAAAUAUUAUAGUCUUCAUGUAUGAUGACAAGCAUUGCUUAAUGAAGUGAAUCCAAGAUCAGAGUUCUCAUUAUAAUCCUGCUGGUGAGGAUGUUUACAAAGGAGUGUCUAAGGUAGGUGUUUCUUGUGAUUGUUUAGUAUGUUCAUAGCUCAAUUUUUUUCGUCAAUACACCAUUAUAGCUAAAGAUAGAAUGUCGUAUUUGUAGUAUUAAUGGGAGCAGCUUUCGUUGUUGGUUUGUUUAUGACCUUCUAGAUAUAUUGUUUAUGUGUGUAUUUAUUAUGGUUCAGGUUGUAUAUUAUUAGAGACAUCGGAGGGUGGUGGAGAAAGAACACAUAAUAACGUUAUGUCUAUAUGACUUAUGAAGACAUUCUCGGGCAUAAACUUUUAAACAAACUUUUUGCAGUUAUGUAUAUGUUAUUGUUGCCACUACUUUAAAGUGUAAAAUGUUGGGCCCGUGCUUAGCACGGGCAACACUCAUCUAGUAUAUAUAUAUAUAUUUCAAAUACAAAUGGUCUAAUAUCUUUGUGAUCACUGUUAGUAGUGCUUCUAUUUCGUAACCUCGAGAGUUAUAUUUUGUUUCUUGUUUAAGUUGGAUGUUUAGCAAUUAUCGGAGUCCAGUUAAUUCAUUUGUUUAGUCAGAUAUCUGAUCCAUUCAUAAACCUUCGACGAGUUGAUAUUGUUGCAUAUUAUAAUUAAUGCCAUAGAUCAUUUUCACCAAUCAAUUGCUAAUAAUUUUUCUUAUUUAUUUUCUGCACGAACACAUCAAUUUGAGUCCAUCCGGACUCCAUUUUCUUGCAUUAUUCCUCUUCUUGAGUCAACCUUCUUUGGAGUUGUGAAAGGGAGUCCUGUUAUUGGGUUAAACACCCAAAAAUCAGCAGCAACAACAGCUCCAAAGACCUCAAAUGAGGAGCAAAAAUGGGGGUUAAAACCCGCAAUUAGAAGCAGCUGCAGUAGCCUUGUAAAGGCCGAAAGUUGAUGGUUUUGGACCCUCAAAUGUGCACUAAGUACAGAAGAUUUGUUGCAGCCUCAAAGGGCCAGAAGAGUAGCAUUUAUUGGACUUACAAAGUCUGAGAAUAGCACAGCAGGAACGGAAAGUAUUUUGGGCCAAAAGGCCUAAAAUCAAAGCCGCAAAAGGCAUUAUUUUCAGCCUCAAAGUGACCAUUUAUGGGCUGAAAGUUUCUUAGUUAUUUUAUUUAUUGUUUAUGUUUAUCUACUUUGUUAUUUUUGUGGCUGUUGAUUUUUCCUUAAACUUAG